CCCCCCAGUCACCCCCUUACACCAUCCCCCACACACCCCUUCAGCCACCUCUUCUUACAUAUCGACCUGCAGUCACAGCAUCCCCCCUCUCGCACUCCCAGUCACCCGCUUACACCUAUACCCCAUAAACGCCCCUUGUAGUCCUACAGCCACUGCUCCCCUGUCUAUUGUCUGUUUUAUUCACAUGAUUAAGAUUUUCUGGCUCCCCCCCCCCCCCACCAUGUUGUCUACUACCCCUUUAAUAGCUACAUGUGUGGGUUGCUCUUUGUCGCAACAUUUCCACUUUAAUUAUUAAUUGGGCCAAAGCCAGAGGUAGCUCUGAGGCGCUUUCCUUAGUUCAGUGGUUAUGGUAGUGAGCGGUGGUGGUGGGGGAGGCCCAGGUUCAAUACCCACCUCUUCUUUCCAUGAAGGGAUUUGCUACCUAGGUGGUUUUGUUUUUUAAUUAAGUGGGCGCAGGAGGAAAAAAAUAAAAAUAAAUCACUCUUGUCCCAGACUGUGGGAGAUCCCGUCUCCCCUCUGCCAGGGGACUUGAAGCUGGAUCUCCCACAUCCCAAGGACUGCUGCACCACUGCCCGCCCCGUGGGUGGUUCUUAGUUCAAGCCCCCUUCCUUUCUCAGGAAGACAAUGGCUCCUGUGAAUGAGAGGGGAUUUAAACAAGGACCCCCCCACAUCAGUCACUUGGGAGAGAGAAGAACCCUCUUCAAACCCCGUCUCAGGGGUAGAGGGAGGACUCAAACCAGGAUUGCCUGCAUUCUGGGUGAGAGUCCUAACUAUAGGACUAGAGAGUGAUUCUAGCUUUUUAGCUGGCCCAGUGAGUAGUUAAUUAAAAUGGAACAGCCUUAAUAGGCAAGAUUGAGGAAGCUCCCUGUUCAGAUCCCAUCUGGCAGAUGGGGGAACUGAACUAGGGUUGCUAGCCCCCCAGUAGCAGACCCUAACCACCAUGCUAGAGAGGGCUGCUUAUGUUUGAACCCAAUAAAUAGUGAAUUAAAGUGAAACAACUUCAAUAGGAAAGACUGAGGAAGCUCCUUGUUCAGAUCCCAUCUCCUCAACAGCCAGAGGGUAGAUUUGAACUAGGGUUACUAACCUCCUACCGGUAGUAGUAGAUGCUAACCACUAUGCUAGAGUGGGCUGCUCAUAUUUAAGUCUUGUGUGAGCCCAAUUAAUAGUGAACUAAUGUGGAACAGCUUCAAGAGGAAAGACUGAGGGAACUCUCUGGUAUGAUCCCUCCUCAUCACAUAGAGAGGGAAAUCAAACCAAGAUUUCCUAUGGUACAGGCUGAGUAUGCCUGUAAUCCCCCUGAUUUGUGUGGUGUGGGGUUGUAGCAGGUACUGAGCACACUCAUUCUCAGUUUACUCCCUGGCUCAGUGUCGUUUGUACCUCCAACUAAAACUCUGCUGGAGUUCUCUGGGUCAGAGGAAAAGGGAGAUUCUAGUCACCAACUGACCCCAACACUGUACUAGAUCUCUAUCUGGCAUACCAGUUCUCAAGCCAAGCUGGUGCUGCAUUUGCAUUUUAAAAUUAAGCACAAGUCCUUUGCCAGGAGGAGAGGGGAGCUGUAUCUCUCAAGAAUUCCUUGACUAUGAUCACAAAUUUGCACCAAAGCCUUCUACUAGUAUAGUUUAACUUUUAAACAGAAAUGCUACUGCAGCCUUUGUAUGUCUCUUGCACUGGCUGGCAUUCCCUGUCUUGUUCACAGCAGCUCCACUUUGUAGAACCAAAGUGAAAGUCUACUAAUGCUGGGCUUAUUGGCUUUUGGAGCUGUGUUGGUCAGCUGAGGGGAAGGCUAGUGAGGCUUGUUCUACAUGAACACUGCUCAUUUUUGCCCCUAGUAUUGUGCAAAAAAAGAGUGAUUUUGUCCCAUCCCAAGAACAAGCAUGAAAUAGCAGCUGGGGGUGUGUCAGUAACCUAACUGCAUGCUGUCAUUUAUAAGCCUGCUCCCAUUACCUACUGAGUGAGCAGUUUUGAGGGCAAAGAGGCAAAAGCGCUCGGCCCUGGUCAUGUAUCAAAGAUGAUCCAACAGUCUUGGGAGGUAGCUACGUCUCUGCCUGUUGAUGGCUUUCUAAAUUAGGACCAUUACUUUGAAUUCAGGGCAUGGACAGACCUGAGCUAACCAGAGAGUGAAAGAACCAAGCAGUGGCUGCUGACAAGUAGUCCUUGCUCAGUAUCACCAGCAAGAUUUGAAGGCAGGCAUAGUAAGAGGAUUGCACGCUCCUUGACAAGUCAGCAGGCUGGAUGGCUCAGGGGAAGGGGUGAGAAGAUGGAAUUUUUGCUCUUUAAGGUCCUGCUUUAAGCCCAACUCAGGGCACCUGGCAUUGGCCACUGUUGGAAGAUAGGACACUGGGCUAGAUGGACCUUUGGUCUGACCCAGUCUGGCCACUCAUGUUCUUAUCAUCAAACUGCAGGGGGUGAGAAACAAGAGGUGCGUACAGCAUGACCUCCCACUACUGCCUUGCUCCCAUUCGGAUCUCCUCACCACCUACCAUCGAUCCGGCUGACUAGCUCCUCCAGUGCUUUGACCUUCUUCUGGAUCCCUGGCUGUGCAAAGGUGUAGUUAUCCUGCAGGAAGACAGUGAGAGUCAAAGGCAGCAGCUACUGUAGUGAAAGAAUCCUGGAGCUUGGAACCCAGCUAAGAGACCUGCUCUCCUUCUGCCUACUCUUGGGAUCGCUAAGAUCAGCUGUCACACUUUUGCUAAGAGUCCCUGGAUGUGAAUUGUUCAGGAGACAGUGAGUUUGGGGUGGUGGGAUCCUCUGCUCUUGAAAUCACUUCCCUGCUGCUCUUCCAGGCCCAGUGUAAGCCAGAAUCCCUGGAAAACGUGAGCAUUAGAGUUUUGCUUAGGGAGCAGGGCGGUCUAGUAGUUAGAUAUACAGACUGAGAAUCAGGAGACCUGAGAUGAAAUCCUGACCCUACUGGGCUUUGUGCUGUAGACUUCCAUAGGACCAGGCUUUCCCGCCUGGAUUCUAUUCCCAACUCACGCUGUGACUUUAGGUGAGUCCCUCAACCCCUCCGUGCCUCAGUUUCCCCAUCUGUAAAGCAGGGGCAAUUUUGUAAGGUGCUUUGAGAUCCCCCAAUUGAUGCUAAGUGGUAAUUACUCUAUUUUAAGUGGAAGGUGUUCGACUUCGAUGUGUCUUGUGUGUUUUGUUGCUACGUACAGGGGGCUCAGAUCACAAGAGAGCACGCUUGAGAAAUCUCGAAAUAAGUGAAUUUGUGUCAGGCCGCAAGGAAAGCAAUCUUGAGCGUACAGAGCAAAAUUCCUUUUUAAUGGGGACAUAAAUAGGCAGAGAAAGAGAGAGUACUUAAUUCUCACUUUGUUAGGAAGGUUGAUCCUGAUAAAAGAGGGGAGUGUUUUUAAUAAAGGAGACAGAGGACAUCUGUUUCUGCACUUGUAAGUCCAUGUGUCUUUCUGCGACCCUGAUCAAGGAGGUCCGUAGGCCUCUGUGGGACCACAAGCCAAGGAGGGAGGGGUAGAAGUCUGCAGCUCUAUGGGGCAAUGAGAGGCAGAGACGUGAGGAGCUGCACGUGUCUGGGGAACAAGAUGCAGUAUGUUUACUGGGGGACAAGAGGCAUGAGAGAUCAGAGAGCAUACGCAUGGGGACAGUUCUCAUCAGAGAAGAGGGGUGUUGGAUGUGUGAGUCUGUGUGCGGGGAAGUAGGUUAGCAGCCAACCGCUGAACAAGCCGUUUCAGAAGCCAGGCUAGAAGUGGGUCAAGAAUAAACUCAGCACAACAGCCCUGUGAGGAACGAGAGGGGACUAGACACAGAUAAGUGACUUGGACAAGGCUACUGAGUAAUCAGUAGCUGAGCCAGGAUUAGAACUUGGAAGUUCCUGGCUUUGAGUCCCCAGCCUCUAAAACUAGACAGGAUUCAGCCUGUAACCAGAGGGGUUAGGUACAGGGAGAUCACUAGGAAUGUCACUCAAGUUGGGGGUGCGGCCUGAGGGUGGAACAGAUGGCUACCCAAAAACAGAGGGAGGACACUGGGACUGCUAUCUAAGAGAGAGGGGGGAGCAGAGAGAAAUCUGCUCAGGCCCAUUUCCCGGUGCACUUACCUGUAUGCCAUCCAGUAGUUUGCUCAUACACCAGAAGCUGUCGGCUUCGAUGCUCCGCAACACAUCCUGAGACAGGGUCGUCACGUCAAAGUUCUCCACAUCCUCUUCUGUAAAACAAAAGGGGGAGAGAAUCCAGAGGACGUGUCUCCCAGGGUGUGGGGAGAGGAGGAGAAAGGCCAUGUGAGCCCCUAGUAUCUUAAUCAGGAUCCUUUAAUUGGAGGGAUGCUGGGCUGAGUUCCCCAUAGUGCCACCAUCCUUGCUGCAAACACAUUUCUGAGUCCCUGGUGCAACCUACCCUUGGCUCUGAGUCACUCUUCUGCAGCUGGGAUCAAGGGGGAAAGGGGUGGGUAGAACUGGUUCAUGGCAGCUCUGGCUUCUAGAACAAGAUCUGUAACAAAGCUGUGCAGCACAGCGAAAAAUCGGCCUGGGAAAUCUGGAAAGCCCAGUCCCCCAGUACACGGAACACCACACUGCCUUGGGAUCACCUGUAACACAAUUAUUCUUUGUAGGGCGGUAGUGCCUAUAAGCCCCAAGCACAGAUCAAGACCCCAUUGUGCCAAGCGCUGCACAAACAGAGAACAAACAGCGCUUACAAUUUAACAGUGUCCCUUACCGUGACAGGGGAGCUGAGCCCAGAGCUACAGUCCUAUUCUGUAGAUAAGCCAGUACAGACGCUCCAAUGGCUGUGGGCUUCCUUACCAGCUCUGGUCCUACUGGCUAGAACUGUGUAUCCAAUCAUCUAGCAGGCUGCUAGGUGGGUACAAGAGGCCUACAAUGCACAACAUACCAUCCCCAGGCACCACAUCAAGGUCACCACAACCAAUGAGUCACUUCCUUGCUUACAACUAGGCUUGGCAGAAUUCGAUUUUUAUUUUUGAGAAUAUUGAGGUUUAUUUGUAAGCAUUUUCAUCAGUUUAAACAGUCACCGUUGUGGGAAACUAGAGGUGGUGGUGCCAAAUAAUAAUUAAUGACAAUAGGCAUUGAGAUUCCAAAACUGAAAGCUUUAUAACCAUUAAAACCUAAACUAUCAGCAUCACAUGUCAGAAUAUACAAAAUAAAAUAUCCUUAAAUCAACAAA